GUCUUCAAGGGAUCACCACACUGUCUUCCACAAUGGUUGAACUAAUUUUCACCCCCACCAAUGAUGCUACCAUUGAAUUUAAUUAUGAUGCUGUCUUCAACAUGGAAGUUACAUAAGAAAAUCUGAAGCCAUUGUGUAUUUCAGCUAGGCUUCUUCUUAGGAAAUAGAGGUCAGCCUAGUGCAGUGAAGUCUGAUUGGAGGUGGACAAUGAGGAUCCUGCCAAGGUGCUGUCCUUAGCUUCUGU
rnacentral:lncRNA from 10 species